ACUCCUACGGGAGCAGCAGUGGGGAAUAUUGCACAAUGGGCGCAAGCCUGAUGCAGCCAUGCCGCGUGUAUGAAGAAGGCCUUCGGGUUGUAAAGUACUUUCAGCAGUGAGGAAGGUGGGUAUGUUAAUAGCAUAUUCAUUUGACGUUAGCUGCAGAAGAAGCACCGGCUAACUCGUGCCAGCAGCCGCGGUAAUACGGAGGGUGCGAGCGUUAAUCGGAAUUACUGGGCGUAAAGCGCAUGCAGGUGGUUUGUUAAGUCAGAUGUGAAAGCCCGGGGCUCAACCUCGGAAUUGCAUUUGAAACUGGCAAACUAGAGUACUGUAGAGGGGGGUAGAAUUUCAGGUGUAGCGGUGAAAUGCGUAGAGAUCUGAAGGAAUACCGGUGGCGAAGGCGGCCCCCUGGACAGAUACUGACACUCAGAUGCGAAAGCGUGGGGAGCAAACAGGAUUAGAUACCCUGGUAGCGUAA
rnacentral:rRNA from 1 species